CGUGUAGGCGGUCGAGUAAGUCAGAUGUGAAAGCCUUCCGCUUAACGGAAGAAGUGCAUUUGAAACUGCUCGGCUGGAGUACGGGAGAGGAGAGUGGAAUUCCCGGUGUAGAGGUGAAAUUCGUAGAUAUCGGGAGGAACACCAGUGGCGAAGGCGGCUCUCUGGUCCGAUACUGACGCUGAGACGCGAAGGCGUGGGGAGCAAACAGGAUUAGAUACCCUGGUAGUCCACGCCGUAAACGAUGGGCACUAGGUGUAGGAGGUAUUGACCCCUUCUGUGCCGAAGCUAACGCAUUAAGUGCCCCGCCUGGGGAGUACGGCCGCAAGGCUAAA
rnacentral:rRNA from 1 species